rnacentral:rRNA from 1 species
GUCGAGCGGUAAGGCCUUUCGGGGUACACCGAGCGGCGAACGGGUGAGUAACCUGUGGGUGAUCUGCCCUGCACUCUGGGAUAAGCUUGGGAAACUGGGUCUAAUACCGGAUAUGACCGCAUGCCGCAUGGUGUGUGGUGGAAAGAUUUAUCGGUGCAGGAUGGGCCCGCGGCCUAUCAGCUUGUUGGUGGGGUAAUGGCCUACCAAGGCGACGACGGGUAGCCGACCUGAGAGGGUGACCGGCCACACUGGGACUGAGACACGGCCCAGACUCCUACGGGAGGCAGCAGUGGGGAAUAUUGCACAAUGGGCGGAAGCCUGAUGCAGCGACGCCGCGUGAGGGAUGAAGGCCUUCGGGUUGUAAACCUCUUUCAGCAGGGACGAAGCGUGAGUGACGGUACCUGCAGAAGAAGCACCGGCUAACUACGUGCCAGCAGCCGCGGUAAUACGUAGGGUGCGAGCGUUGUCCGGAAUUACUGGGCGUAAAGAGUUCGUAGGCGGUUUGUCGCGUCGUUUGUGAAAACCCGGGGCUCAACUUCGGGCUUGCAGGCGAUACGGGCAGACUUGAGUGUUUCCGGGGAGACUGGAAUUCCUGGUGUAGCGGUGAAAUGCGCAGAUAUCAGGAGGAACACCGGUGGCGACGGCGGGUCUCUGGGACACCCACUGACGCUGAGGAACGAAAGCCUGGGUAGCAAACAGGAUUAGAUACCCUGGUAGUCCACGCCGCAAACGGUGGGCGCUAGGUGUGGGUUCCUUCCACGGGAUCUGUGCCGCAGCU